GACGAACGCUGGCGGCGUGCUUAACACAUGCAAGUCGAACGGAAAGGCCCUGCUUUUGUGGGGUUCUCGUGUGGCGAACGGGUGAGUAACACGUGAGUAACCUGCCCUUGACUUUGGGAUAACUUCAGGAAACUGGGGCUAAUACCGGAUAGGAUCUCCUGCUGCAUGGUGGGGGUUGGAAAGUUUCGGCGGUUGGGUAUGGACUCGCGGCUUAUCGGCUUGUUGGUGGGGUAGUGGCUUACCACGGCUUUGACGGGUAGCCGGCCUGAGAGGGUGACCGGCCACCUUGGGACUGAGAUAGGGCCCAGACUCCUACGGGAGGCAGCAGUGGGGAAUAUUGCACAAUGGGCGGAAGCCUGAUGCAGAAACGCCGCGUGCGGGAUGACGGCCUUCGGGUGGAAAACCGCUUUCGCCUGUGACGAAGCGUGAGUGACGGUAAUGGGUAAAGAAGCACCGGCUAACUACGUG
rnacentral:rRNA from 1 species